rnacentral:sRNA from 1 species
AGGAUCCCCAAGAUGGCUGGGCGAAAACUUGCUCUAAAAACCAUUGACUGGGCAGCUUUUGCAGAGAUCAUACCCCAGAACCAAAAGGCAAUUGCUAGUUCCCUGAAAUCCUGGAAUGAGACCCUCACCUCCAGGUUGGCUUCUUUACCUGAGAAUCCACCAGCUAUCGACUGGGCUUACUACAAGGCCAAAGUGGCCAAGGCCGGCUUGGUGGAUGACUUUGAGAAGAAGGUGAGACUUCACACCUCUAAAGCACUGAGCUUGUAACAUGCCUGUGGGUAGAGAGCAGGAACAGGGAUAAUUACAUACACAGCAUGACAGCCAGAUCCCUAAGGAAGCUUAGGAAAGAUGUGUAUGGCCAAAGGCCUUGUGGUCGAUUGAACUGUAAAUAGGUGCAGGAAUUUAGGCUCUGUUCAUUCAGCAGUACAGUGUAGCCUUAAUCUGGGAGCCAGAGAGCUUUCUGAUCAGCACAGUUUUGACCUGCUCUGUUUCUGACCUGGGCCGGUUCACCCCUUCUUAGGCAACCUGGUAGUCCCCUGCUCCUGGGAGGUCACCAUAUUGAUGCUGAACUUGGUGAAGACACCUGAUCGGCAUAACGCACUACAGCCCAGAACUCUUGGGCUCAAGCAAUCCACCUGCCUCAGCCUCCCGAGUAGCUGGGACUACAGGCAUGCACCACCAUGCGCCAGAGGGCUUUCAAGUUAAAUGUUUGCCCACCUCCUGGGUUCCUUUUAGCUUCCUUCCUGUCUCCCUUUGGAACAAACUGACGUUUUUUUCUACUCUUUUCCUGUCCUUUUUCUUUUGAGAUGGAGUUUUGCUCUGUCACCCAGGGUGGAGUGCAGUGGGCGAUCUCAGCUUACUGCAGCCUCUGCCCCCCAAGCUCAAGCCAUCCUUCUGUCUUAGCCUCCUGAGUAGCUGGGACUACAGGCGCAUGCCACCACCACACCUGAUUAAUUUUCUUUUUUUUUUUUUUUUUUUGGUAGAGACAGGUUUU